rnacentral:rRNA from 1 species
UGGGGAAUAUUGGACAAUGGGCGAAAGCCUGAUCCAGCCAUGCCGCGUGUGUGAAGAAGGUCUUCGGAUUGUAAAGCACUUUAAGUUGGGAGGAAGGGCAGUAAGCGAAUACCUUGCUGUUUUGACGUUACCGACAGAAUAAGCACCGGCUAACUCUGUGCCAGCAGCCGCGGUAAUACAGAGGGUGCAAGCGUUAAUCGGAAUUACUGGGCGUAAAGCGCGCGUAGGUGGUUCGUUAAGUUGAAUGUGAAAGCCCCGGGCUCAACCUGGGAACUGCAUCCAAAACUUGCGAGCUAGAGUAUGGCAGAGGGUGGUGGAAUUUCCUGUGUAGCGGUGAAAUGCGUAGAUAUAGGAAGGAACACCAGUGGCGAAGGCGACCACCUGGACUCAUACUUACACUGUAGUGCGAAAGCGUGGGGAGCAAACAGG